CUAUACAUUAUCUUUGAUUACAAAUUUAUUUGAGAUGUAAUUUAACUUUUCUAUAAUAGUUUAUACAUUAUAAUAGCUAUACAUAUAAGUUGCUUUCUAAUUGUUGAUGUCAACUUUGUUCCAAAAAAGUUAUGGAAUAUGUUGCUGGAGGAGAGCUAUUUGACAAGUUUGUAGCGCAACGCUUCAGUGACCAUGAGGUUCUACUAUCACGUCUAACAUAGCAAUCUAUAUUGUUAUAAAAUAAGUAGUAACUAAAAAAAACAUGAUAGGCUAACAAGUUUACAUGUAUGUCCGGGGCAGCGAUAAAGCUGCAGAGAUGAAGCGCGAGCCUGUAAAAUCGACGGUGAUGUCAACAUUCUGAUAUGGCACUAAAGGAUACUAAAAACGACAUGUCAACAAGUGGCUUUAAACCGGGUAUAGGUUGUGGCUUUUUUGCAUGAUUUGGCUAACUCAAAUUCAUCUCAACCUCCAGUUCUUUGGGUUUUAAUGAAAGCUAUCGGAAAACAAUGGAAGAUCGACAGAUUAUUUCAGUUUAGUAGUCAUGGUAUAACACGCUAACAUGUUAUUUAUUUCGUUUGUUAACAGGGCAAUAGUUAUGGGCUUAUGGCUUAUAAAAGUUUAUCCAGUAUUGAACUAGAAGAUGCAACAGAUCCUAUCUAAAUAAAAGUACUUAAGAGAUAGGAGAUGGAUGUCAAACAGAUACAAACUUAAGUUCUACUGCCUCUUUGUGAACAGAGAGGAACUGUCAUUCAAGAAACAUCAUAUACACGUGACUCUGGCUUUAAAUAUUUUCACACCUGUGUUAGCUAUUGGGCUAUUUUCAAAAAAAAGAUUUGUUGUCGUUUUUCCGAUCUCUUUUGAUGCUCCAUUAAUGCAAGCUAUAACCUCGGCAUGGAUGCUUCUGCCAGUUAAAUUGUGAUCCUCUAUAUUCAACUCUUAAAGAGCGUUACCAAUAGUACGGGAAAAGGCUUUUGCCUUCACCGCACUUGGAAAACUAUCAAUCAAAGUUCAGCGAUGUCGCUCUAUUCCUUGGAAAUAUAAAGAAGAAAGUUAACCAUUCUGAUGCUUAUCAACCAGAAGGCAAGACUCGACCCUCUUAUAAAAGGAGAUCACCCCCAACAGAUAGCUGUGGAAUAUCUGAGAUUAGGCUUGCUAUGGAUGUAGUUGGUGGCACAAGAACGCAAUUAAAAGUUUUCAAGAAUGAUGAAGAUGCAUCAGUGGAUAGUGUAGAUGCUACAUUUUCUUUAUUCGCUUCCCUUUUUAAAUCUGCUCUUCAAGGUCAUUGUCUAUACAUUCUCGCUUUAGCAGUAAACAGUAGUAAGAAACAUCUUAUAAAAUAUGUUAGAUGAACAACUCACUUUAGUUUAGGUAUUUAUUUUCUUCACUCUAUUGAUUUAGUAAUUAUGCAAAAAUUGGUGUCUGAACUACACGCACUUCUGGCAUUCGUCUACCAUUUUGAUUACCUAUGGAGUUAUUUUAGAAGUGGUAGCAGUUGGAAGCCAUCAAUGGAUGUGGUGGUGAGUGCUAUAAUCAAGUUUGUAAUUGACAGACUUUUUGUAAAGGAAGGAUCUUUUAGACCAAGAAGGCAACUUAUUGUGAAACAAAGGUGGUUCCAAAGCAUCCACAAACACACCUAUAUGAAAAGCUUGAAGGAGAAUGUCACUGCAUUUGCAAUCCCACUUGCCCUUGCUAUUCAUGCAUGUUCACAUUGUCAUGAAGUGCAGAUGUGGCACUCAAGUAAUUGCUUAGAAGGAAGGAAUAUCGUGAUCAAUUAGGGUACAUGCAUUCAAGAACUAAAGUGUUGAUAGUAAUUGCAGUAGUUGUAAAUCACUUUUUAUUAGACUUCAUGAACUAUUAUUUGAGUUAAAGUCGUAUCUACCCAUAGCGAAAUGCAUAUAGUCCCUCUACCAGGUAUAUGUCUUCGUUGACUUUUUUCUUCACUGUAUAUUGUUGAGCUUAUGAAUUAAGUUUUUUCAUGUUUGUUUUAGUAGCUUGCGGUUAAUGUUGCAAGAGGAUGAGACUAUGCGUUAUCUUGCUAUCAUGUUGUUGAGACUAUACAUAAAAGUUAUCAACGCGGCUCAUUGAGUGAAAGUUUAGCAAAAGGCAAAAUUAUUCUAUGUUUCCAGUCGCGUGCAAGAAGCUUGGCUGAUUCGACUGCAAGUUUGGUUAAUAUUGGUGCCAUAAAGUCUGUUGUUGAAGGUGCUUAGAAGUUAAACGUAGCGUGGUUGGAGUUUGCAAAGGACAUAAUAUUUAUAUGUAUAGGAUGCAAAACCAUGUUCAUAUCUGAAUAUUUAUAAAAGCUGCCUCUU